rnacentral:rRNA from 1 species
UUAAAAAGCUCGUAGUUGAACCUUGGGCCUGGCUGGCCGGUCCGCCUCACCGCGUGUACUGGUCCGGCCGGGCCUUUCCUUCUGGGGAACCUCAUGCCCUUCACUGGGCGUGUUGGGGAACCAGGACUUUUACUUUGAAAAAAUUAGAGUGUUCAAAGCAGGCCUUUGCUCGAAUACAUUAGCAUGGAAUAAUAGAAUAGGACGUGUGGUUCUAUUUUGUUGGUUUCUAGGACCGCCGUAAUGAUUAAUAGGGACAGUCGGGGG